rnacentral:tRNA from 1 species
UCCCAUGUAGCUCAUUUGGUAUAGCAUGGCACUUGCAAUGCCAAGGCUGUCAGUUCAAUUCCCACGAGGGAC